rfam:Schistosoma mattheei strain Denwood, Zambia genome assembly, scaffold: SMTD_contig0000005
GCACUGCUGAGGAGUCCCAUACUAGGACGAUACGGCCGUCCAGUGC